CCGACGUUGUGGUUAUGCAGAUAAUGUUCAAGUUAGUAGUAAUCCAGGUUUAACAUACUUACUCAAACAGGAUAUAACAAAAUAAAAGUAAGAAAAAACAUUCACAUUUGAUAGAAGCAAAGACAUUAUGGAAUUCAACAUCACCAUGAGAUUAUCACAAGGCAGCAUCGAGUUUAGUGAUAUUUAUGUACACAUCAUUAUUGAAGAUCAAGAAAUCUUAUCAUUUCAUUAGAAAUGAUAGGAUUUUUUUAUCCAUAUGGUACAUGCAGUUAGAGCUAUAAAUAAGACACAGAUCCAUGCUCAGUAUCUUUCACACUUAAGGUAAUCUUCAUAAUGUCAAUACCAAAUUUCAAUUUUGUGGCAAUAACAGUUGGAAAAGAAUUCACAGAACAUUAUCUCCUAAGAGCAUAGAGCCCAACUACAUGCUGAACCAAAUGCGAAUUUCCGGAAUCAACACAUCACUAAACAUUCGUAUCCGCUAACAUCAUAGCAUGACCACACCAAGCCAUAGUGGUAGUGGAGACACUAAUUUUACAUGGUAUAGUAGUAAACUAUAUUAGAUAGAUAGAUAGACGGAUAGAUAGUUCCGUCCAGACGCCUUGUCACCCAAAUUUCUUGCAAGACUUGCAGCAACCGACUUGUCACUCGGGAUUGCGCCUUGGCGCGAGGGUGCCGGUCCCAACACUCUGAUCAAGCGGAUAAUGCUAAGUUGAAGGAAUCCAGGUUUAGCAUAUGCAUUCAUAUAGAAUAACAAUAAAGUUAAGAAGAGACAUUCAAUUGUUAUAGGAGCAAGACAUAGUGGUGCUUAAUAUCGGCAUGAGAUUAUAAGUCAGAAUCCAUUUCAGUGUGUUUAUUAGACCACAAAAGAUAGCCACUCGGCAUGAAGUUCAAUACCAAAAGUGCAACCACUCGACAUGAAUCUCCAUUGUUAGGUAAGGUAAAGUAAAACAACAAACCCAGAGAACUAUCUUGCAUCAUAAGUAGUAAAAGAACGAUAAAAGGUGAUAACUAAAGGAGAACAGAGAACUCUUCUUCAGGUAGUAUAUGUGGGUUUCGCUGCUCUGAGUUUUGUAGUUGUGCCCAUUGCCCCUUAGUAUCCACAGUACACAAGAAACAGUAACUAAAACCAAUUUGACAGAACCUGAAACCGCAAAAAAAGACAACUUGGGUG
rnacentral:lncRNA from 1 species